ensembl:snRNA U4 U4 spliceosomal RNA
AGCUUUGUGCAAUGGCAAUAUUUUAGCCAGUGAGGUUUAUCUGAGGCAUGAUUAUUGCUAAUUGAAAACUUUUCACAAUACCCUGCCAUGACGCCUUGAAAUAUAGUCGGCAUUGACGAUUUUUGACAGUCUCUAUGGAGA